rnacentral:lncRNA from 13 species
CAGAAUCAGUGAAGGUGUACACUGCCGGAGAGAUCACAGCGAUAGUAAUAGGAGCUCUGUGUGGCUGUGUUGGUGUGGCUGUCAUCAUUUGCUUCUUAGUGAAGACUAUACGCUCCACCUCUAGCUGGGACGUCCUACCCAGUGUCCGGCCCGCCCCCGUUUUCAGGACUAUGGAGCCAGGGAAGGAGCUGAAACCGGACGUGGCCCUCAACACGACCACUGAACCAGGAAAAAAAGAAGAUCCUGUCCCCCCCUCAGUCUGAGACCAAUCAGAGACCUCCAUGAACGACCCCCCCCCCCACCAACCACACUCCACACUCCCUGCCAAUGGGCUUGGAUGAGUGCCUCUAUGGCUCUGGUCCAGAGGAGGCUGGUUGGAGGAGCUAUGGGAGGACAGGCUCAUUAUAAUGGGUAGAAUGGAAUGAUGGAGCG